AAGUCGUAACAAGGUUUCCGUAGGUGAACCUGCGGAAGGAUCAUUACCGAGUUAGGGUCCCUCUGGGGCCCGAACCUCCCAACCCUGUGACUAUUGUUACCUUUUAGUUGCUUCGGCGGGCCGGCCGUCCUGACCAACUGGUCUCGCCGGCCGCCGGUCGUGGGUCUCCACGAUUGGAGAGCUCGCCCGCCGAUGGCCCAACACAAAACUCUGGUACUAAACACUGCCGUCUAAAUACCUUGAUAUUAAUCAAAAACAAAA
rnacentral:misc_RNA from 1 species